GAUGAACGCUGGCUACAGGCUUAACACAUGCAAGUCGAGGGGAAACGAUAUUGGAAGCUUGCUUCCGAUAGGCGUCGACCGGCGCACGGGUGAGUAACGCGUAUCCAACCUGCCCACCACUUGGGGAUAACCUUGCGAAAGUAAGACUAAUACCCAAUGAUAUCUCAAGAAGACAUCUGAAUGAGAUUAAAGAUUUAUCGGUGAUGGAUGGGGAUGCGGCUGAUUAGCUUGUUGGCGGGGUAACGGACCACCAAGGCUACGAUCAGUAGGGGUUCUGAGAGGAAGGUCCCCCACAUUGGAACUGAGACACGGUCCAAACUCCUACGGGAGGCAGCAGUGAGGAAUAUUGGUCAAUGGGCGAGAGCCUGAACCAGCCAAGUAGCGUGCAGGAUGACGGCCCUAUGGGUUGUAAACUGCUUUUAUAAGGGAAUAAAGUGAGCCUCAUGAGGCUUUUUGCAUGUACCUUAUGAAUAAGGACCGGCUAACUACGUGCCAGCAGCCGCCGUAA
rnacentral:rRNA from 1 species